GGUGCAACUAGCGACACAGACCUUACAGGUCGACUCUCCUGGCACUCGUAAACAGGUGGCGCAUGGUUGUCCUCAGCUCGCCUCGUGAGAUGUUGGGUUAUGUCCCGCAACGAGCGCACCCCUCUUUCUAUGUUGCCAGCACGUAGUGGUGGGAACUCAUGGGAUACUGCCGGGGUCAACUCAGAAGAGGGUGGGGAUGACC
rnacentral:rRNA from 1 species